GAGUUUGAACCUGGCUCAGGAUGAACGCUGGCGGCGUGCUUAACACAUGCAAGUCGAACGGACCUGUACUGAAACCUAGUGAUUUACAGGUUAGUGGCGGACGGGUGAGUAACGCGUGGAAAACCUGCCGUAUACUGGGGGAUAACACUUAGAAAUAGGUGCUAAUACCGCAUAAGCGCACAGACCCGCAUGGGACAGUGUGGAAAACAAAAAGCUAAAGCUUUUUGUGGUAUACGAUGGUUCCGCGUCUGAUUAGCUUGUUGGCGGGGUAACGGCCCACCAAGGCGACGAUCAGUAGCCGGCCUGAGAGGGUGAACGGCCACAUUGGGACUGAGACACGGCCCAGACUCCUACGGGAGGCAGCAGUGGGGAAUAUUGCACAAUGGGGGAAACCCUGAUGCAGCGACGCCGCGUGAGUGAAGAAGUAUCUCGGUACGUAAAGCUCUAUCAGCAGGGAAGAAAAAAAGCCUUUGGCUUUGGACGGUACCUGACUAAGAAGCCCCGGCUAACUAC
rnacentral:rRNA from 1 species